UAAUUUGUUAUACAUGAUGGCAGAAUGCAAUUCAUUUCAAAUUACACAUAUAGAGCACAAUUUCUCAAGCCACUGGUUGUACACAAAGUAUUUUCACACCAUUUGUUUCUUCAUACAUGUACUUAGGGUAAUGAUGUCUAACUCAUUCCUCCAUCUUUCCUACUCCCUUGCCCCCUCCCUUCCCCUCUCUCCCCUUUGUCCUAUCCUAAGUUCAUCUAUUCCUCCCACGCUCCCCAACCCCAUCACCAUUAUAAGUCAGCAUUCUCAUAUCAAAGAAAACAUUCAGCCUUUGUUUUGGGGGGGAUUGGCUUACUUCAUUUAGCAUAAUAUUCUCUAACUCCAUCCAUUUACCUGCAAAUGCCAUGAUUUUAUUCUCUUUUAAUGGUGAGUAGUAUUCCUUUGUGUAUAUAUAUAAAAGUUUCUCUAUCCAUUCAUCUACUGAAGGGCAUCUGGGUUGGUUCCACAAUUUAGCUAUUGUGAAUUGUGGUGCUAUAAAUAUUGAUGUGGCUGUGUCCCUGUAGUAUGCUGUUUUUAAGUCCUUUGGGUAUAGACCAAGGAGAGGGAUAGCUGGGUCAAAUGGUGGUUCCAUUUCAAGUUUUCCAAGGAAUUGUCAUACUGCUUUCCAUAUAGGCUGCACCAAUUUCAGUCCCACCAGCAAUGUAUGAGUGUGCCUUUUCCCGCACAUCCUUGCCAACACUUAUUGUUAUUUGUAUUCUUGGUAGCUGCCAUUCUGACUGGAGUGAGAUGAAAUCUCAGAGUUGUUUUUAUUUGCGUUUCUCUAAUUGCUAGAGAUGUUGAACAUUUUUUCAUACAUUUGUAUUCAAUAUUCUUUUAUACUCUAUUCCCUGUGACGCUCCCUUUCACUUGAUAGAGCUCCUCUGUCCAUUUCAAUUGUUUUCCAAGAUUCCCAUUGGAAACAAACACUUGUAUUUCAGCCUUCUAGGGUAGAGGAAUCUCAUCUCCAAUGCCCCACAGUCACUGGGGCCAGAGAGAAGAGGUAAGUAUAUCUUACUGGCGCCUCCCAUUGAGGCUUCCAAUGGCACCCCCCCAUUGAUAUUUCCAAUGGUACCAUCACUUCUCCACUCUUAUUCAAAACCCUCUUCUCUCUUGACUGACCUCCCCUAAUGUACACAUUCACAUAACUCCUCUCUCCCUCUUGUGAUUCUCAUCCAUAGCCUACAGGACAUUCCCCCUUAUGCUAAGCACUUUACCAUCUUACUUACACACUUUCUUUCCACUCUGACCUCUAGAAGAUGUGUCUGUGCAAACCAUUUAUCUCUCUCAGUUAGAAUUGGUUCGACUAUACAUGAACUAUACAGGUAAGUAGUUUUAAUAAUUUAGAGAUCUCUUAUAUAAACCAGUAUAGAAGCUAAGGAAGAUCAGUGCUAAAAUGGUGACUUCAUGUCAUUAGGAACUCCUGUCUUUCUGCUCCACCAUCCUGGCCUUGGAUUCCAUCCUUAAAAUAGUUCAUGGUCUAAAUUGGCAGAAAGGAGAAGAAAUGGCAGAUGAACACAACUUCCUGGUGAUUUUCACUUCAAAUUUUUUCCUUAACCCCCACCCUCCCCAUCCAAUGACUUUUACUUACACAUUUUUAUUCAUCUCCAACUGCAAAGAAAGCUAAUUAUAUCCUCUUAGCAGGCUCCAUUGCUAUUCUGAAUAAAAGCAGUGUUCUAUCCAUAAUGAGUAAGCAGCUAGCAUUCUUGCCAUGUAGUUUAUGUCCAAUAUCACUGACCUUCAUUUCCUUUCCCCUUCAGCAAUUAUGGCCAUUCUCUGGACUCUCUCACCCAAAGCACUGAAUUCCGGAUCUAUUAAGUUCUAAUAUCCUAUUCUCCAGCCCUCAGCAUCUAGCCUUAUAGGUCCCAUGUUCAUUCCUGCUACGUCUGUCAUAUGGUGCCUCACAUGGAAUCCUUCCAUCCUUCCAUUCCCCAUAAGAUGUAUCCGUUUGGGGAGACACCAAGAUGGAAUUAGAUAAACAAAGGGUUUAUCUAGGGAAAUGCCAGUGAGGAUCAAGGGCAGGGGAGCAGGAAUAAUCAGGAAGAGCUUUGGAGCCUGGUGCAUGCCUGACUUGGGGUGGAAGGAGGAACUAGGUAGGAAGAGCCUGAUUGCAGUUUAGUUCUCAUUUGGGUCACUGGGAAGUCCUAGGCCAAAAUUGCCCAUUAGAGGAGCAUUGUGUUGGGCACAAAUGACCCCCUUCCAAUGAUCCUCUGUGCUCAACUUCCAGUCCCCACUACUAUUAACAUGUUUAUCUACAUCCCUGAUGAUCCACACCCCUCUCCUAAAAUCUCACCAGGGUCUCUUGCCUUCCUUUCUGUAUCCUUGAUAUGUGUCUCCUCAAGAUGCUCGCUUCAGUAAUUAGCCCAAUUGCUCUUACUUCUUCAGCUCUCUCAGGGAGAGGUCCCAGCAAGAGCUGAAACAGCACAGUGGGAUCUGGGGAAACAGUCCCAGGUUUUAGAUGGCUGGUACAUAAUAAAUUCUCAGUAAAUAUGUAGUAAAGGAAUAUAUGCAUAUUUUCUCUUUUCCAGCUGAUGGUAAGCUUUCUGAGGGUGGGGACUAUGUCGUAUUUAUCUCCAUAACCUACCUAAUAACCCACAGCCAUAAAUACAAAGUUGUCAAGCUAGUAAAGUUAAUCUACUAAUUUUGUGCUAUAUUAGAAACAAAUUAUUUCUCUAAAUUCUUCAUUUAAUGCCUAAUAUGAAACCUGUCAUACAAUAGGUGUUUAAUAAGUAAAUGUUUGUUUUAAUUAAAGAGAAAUUAAAAAUAAACUUUCACUCCCUGAAUGUCACGUGCAUAUUAAAGGCAUUGAACUAAGGGAAAUAAGAAGGAGCUUAUGAUUUAUCUACCUAAAUCAUUUCACUGCCUGUGGCAUAUCUACUUUUGGAUACUUCAUGGGCUUGAACAGAGCAAUCUUAUCUAUCCCACGAGUACAUUAUGCCAUGCUUGGGAUCAAUUGUAACCAUCAGUAUAUUAUAGAAGUGCAUGUUGUUUGAUCAUAAAUGCUUAUCUCUUUGGCUGGUGAUUUUAAGGGCUCUGGGUGUCAACUAGAAGAAGCUGCAGGAAGUGGUACAGAUCCAGAGUAUGGACAGACUUAGAUUUCUGCUGAAAACAGAAACUCAAAGCAUUAUCUUAAAAACAACCAAGAAGCCUCGAACUCUGGUGCACACCUGCAAUCCCAGGGGGUCAGGAGGCUGAGGCAGGAAGAUUGAGAGUUCAAAGCCAGCCUCAGCAAUUUAGUGAGGCCCUAAGCAACUCAGCAAGACCCUGUCUCUAAAUAAAAUACAAAAAGGACUGGGGAUGUGGCUCAGUGAUUGAGUGUCCCUGGGUUCAAUCCCUAGUACCAAAAACAACAACAACAACAACAAGAAAAAAAAAACAACAAAAACAACCAAUAAGACCUAAAGGGUGAAUACUAAACAGAAGCUGUAGUCAGGGAAAUCCUUUUCCUCAAACUAAAAAUAUGGAAUACUUCUUAGAAUAAAACUGUAUAUAUGCAUCCUGUAAAAUGCUGGGGAGUGUAAAACCGGUUUA
rnacentral:lncRNA from 1 species